AUUAGCUUAAAUUAACAAGAAGACUAGCGUUUUUGAAGCAUUUACAGACAGGACAAGUAUGCAGUGUAGACCCACACAUAGUACAGAGACAGAGGUGUCUGCAAGGCAGGAUUAGUACACACGAUUCUCCUUUCCCACAAUUUCUGCACAAUCUCUUCUUUUCAUUGUAACCGCUAUCGUACUCAUUCAUUACUCUGCUACCAUCACCACCACCACUAGUACCUUCUCCAUUUUCCUUAUCCUGCGCACCAAAUGCUACCGUGCACCACCCCUCUUUAUUAUAAUUAUUACUUCCGCAAGAUGACUCCGCGUCUUCCUCCACCACGACGGUGGCAUCUACGCCACCGCCGUUGUUUUUCAGCUGCGUAAGGACUUGUUCGAGAUUGUUCCGGAGAGCGGUGGCGGUGGCUUCGUUGGUUUGAGCUAGUUCACGCCAUAUUUGAUUCUCGAUGCAAAGUGAUUUUACUCUCUCUUCAAGCACCAUGUUCAUUCUUUCAAAUGUCUCAUUAAAUAGUAAUAAAUAUAAAUAUUUAUUAAAUAGAAAAAAAAAUGUCACUACAAAGUCGUAUCCAAGAAUGCGACCAUCUAUUAACAUUAAAAUAAAAAUAUUCGAAAAUGCGACCAUCUAUUAACAUUAAAAUAAAAAUAUUUUCAACUCAUCACAUCCACAAGUUGCGAUCAGCAAAAAAAAUAAAACAUUAUUUUAUUUUUUUCUAAGUGUGACAUGUUGAGAUAUAAAAAAAAUAUAUAAAUAUAAAAAAUCCUAAAUUCUUAUCAUAAUAAUCCUUUAAAAUUCAAAUUACAAAUUUUAAUAGUUUUUAAAAAUCAUCAAAAUUUUACAAAUCUUUUAAAAUUUAUAAGAUUUUUUAUACAAAAGUUAUAUUUUAAAAUCUUAAUCCAAUACAUUUCUCUAAAAAUAUAUUAGUAAAAAAAGAAUUAAUACACUCAAAAUUAAAAAAAAAAAAAAAUCUUAUAAAAAGAAAAACAAUUGUUUCAAAAAAUUACGAUAGUAUAGAGUGGAUAAUUAGCUUAAAUUAACAAGAAGACUAGCGUUUUUGAAGCAUUUACAGACAGGACAAGUAUGCAGUGUAGACCCACACAUAGUACAGAGACAGAGGUGUCUGCAAGGCAGGAUUAGUACACACGAUUCUCCUUUCCCACAAUUUCUGCACAAUCUCUUCUUUUCAUUGUAACCGCUAUCGUACUCAUUCAUUACUCUGCUACCAUCACCACCACCACUAGUACCUUCUCCAUUUUCC
rnacentral:lncRNA from 1 species